rnacentral:rRNA from 1 species
GAUACGGUUAUCGGAUUACUGGGCGUAAGCGCGCGUAGGCGGUUUGUUAAGUCAGAUGUGAAAUCCCCGGGCUCAACCUGGGAAUGGUAUUUGAGACUGGCAGGCUAGAGUGUGGUAGAGGUGAGUGGAAUUUCAGGUGUAGCGGUGAAAUGCGUAGAGAUCUGAAGGAACAUCAGUGGCGAAGGCGACUCACUGGGCCAUUACUGACGCUGAGGUGCGAAAGCGUGGGUAGCAAACAGGAUUAGAUACCCUGGUAGUCCACGCCCUAAACGAUGUGAACUAGAGGUAGGUGGUGUU